rnacentral:rRNA from 1 species
GUGCAUGGCCGUUCUUAGUUGGUGGAGCGAUUUGUCUGGUUAAUUCCGAUAACGAACGAGACUCCAGCCUGCUAAUUAGGGCAUUUGUCCACUGUGCCAGCCAAGCGGCGCUGUGUCAGCUGCUUGGGUUCAGUGUGGGAAUUCAACAUUGCGUCUGUGAGUUAGCACACAUAGCUGUAUAUUGUACUGCCUGUACUGUAGUUACGGCUAUAGUAUAUGGUGUGUGCGAUGCGUGGUUGUGUGAUCGCUAAUAUGCAGUCGUAAUGACCUACAUGUAGUAUCCGGUGGAUGGCACGACGUUAGCUAGCAGGUGCGGCGCAAAUGCCUACUUCUUAGAGGGACACGCGGGAGAAGCCGCACGAAAUAGAGCAAUAACAGGUCUGUGAUGCCCUUAGAUGUCCGGGGCCGCACGCGCGCUACAAUGGCGGUGUCAACGAGUCAGACCUUCUGGCCUGAAAAGGCUGGGUAAACUGGUCAAUCACCGUCAUGACAGGGAUCGGGGCUUGGAAUUAUUCCCCGUGAACGAGGAAUUCCUAGUAAGUGCAAGUCAUAAGCUUGCGCUGAUUACGUCCCUGCCCUUUGUACACACCGCCCGUCGCUACUACCGAUUGAAUGGUUUAGUAAGGUCCUUGGAUUGCCCCC